rnacentral:rRNA from 1 species
GACGAACCGUGCGAACGUUAUUCGGAAUCACUGGGCUUAAAGCGCGUGUAGGCGGGAGGGCACGUCCGUUGCUGAAAUCCCCCGGCUCAACCGGGGAACGGGCGCGGAUACGACCUUCCUGGAGGGGCGUAGGGGGACCUGGAACUUCCGGUGGAGCGGUGAAAUGCGUUGAGAUCGGAAGGAACGCCCGUGGCGAAAGCGAGGUCCUGGACGCCUACUGACGCUGAGCCGCGAAAGCCAGGGGAGCGAACGGG